AGGAGCCCCUUAGUCGCCCCUCUUGACUCUCCAGCUUCCUACAAUCCCGCUCUUCUUCCUUGGAGCUCAGGCAGAGCCAACCGCAGGCGCCGGAAGGAGGGACAUCCGCCGCACGCACGCAGGUUCGCGCGCACCCAGUCCGAGACUUCGCCUGGUCUCUCAGAGCUCCUGGUAACGCCAGCGGAAGCGGGAGGAUGUAGGGCUGCGCGGGUCAGGUGGCGAGUCUGAUACUCCUCCCCAGGCUGAGGACACGCCUCAGGGAGUCAGCCCCGGCCUGCAAGAGCUUACGCCUGUCUGUCCCACUGAAUGCAACAAAAAUCUUGGGCAGAAUACAUGGAGCAGUUAUAUGAGGACAAGGAAGUCAGCCCUCGUCUAAACCAGCGAUCAUACAACAGAAUUUAAGAAUGUGAAACAGUUGAAAUCAUACGAAGUAUGUUCUAUGAUAAUAAGGUAAUUAAACUGCAAAUCAGUAAAUCGCAGGACAAUCUCCAAACACUUGUAAACUAAACACUGCACGUCUAAAUAAUCUAAAGGUCAAAGAAGAAAUGUCAAAGGAAAUAGAAAAUAAUUGAAUAAAAAUUAAAAUACAACAUAUCAAAAUUUUUGAGAUGCAACUAAGUGAUUAAAGUCAAAUUUUGUCAAGUAUGGAGUAAAGUAAUUAAAUCCCAUCUUGAGAUCUAACACACUGUGAAGAUAUGGCUUGAAGUUAUAAGUGCACAUACUCAAGUCAGCACCCAGAGAUUUAAAAGUCAACAAGCAGAGGGACCAAGGCCUAAUUGUGGUAGGAGUUGUUACCCAUACUCAGAACCUAGAAAUCUGGAAUGUUAAAAGUAGAAUGAACAAGGUCUUGUUGCCCUGGGAGUGGUUCUGUUUAUUCACAUCCUCUGAGAGAGCAGUGAGGAAAAGGCUACGGUUAUUAGAAGUAGUUGCCCAUUCUCACAAUAUAGGUAUAUUUGUUUUCUACCAACCAGAGGAUUUAAUAUCUGGUAUUCUGGGUGUAGCUGCCCAUCCUCAGAAUCUGGACAUUCUGGAUCCAAUACAAAGAGGACAUGAAGCUUUCUUGCUUAAGAAAUACUUGCCCAGAAUUGGAUCCUAGAAACCAAAGAUUCACAAACAGAACAAAAGAGGUGCCCUGGAUGUUAUUGUCCAUGCUUAGAACCUAGGGAACUUGGGUCCAAGAAGCAAAUGACAAAAGGCCAUGAUGAUCAUAUAGGAGUUGUUCUUCCUCAGAACCUGGAAACAUUGGGUCCAAUGUAAAGGGGAGACGAGGCCUUGUUGUCCAGGGAAGAAUUGCUCAUACUUGGAUCUUGUACAGCAAAUCUUUUAACAAGCAAAGGAGACAAGAUUUAGUAUUCUGGUAAUAGUAGCUGAUACUCCAAACCUACAAUUUGGGAUUCAACACAUAAAGGACACAAGGUGUUUUACCCUGGAAGUAAUUACCAUUACUCAAAACCUAGAGAAUUGAAAUAGCAAAAGAAGAGGACAAAUGGCUUUCUUGCCCAAAGAGUAGUUACCUAUACUCAGAACCUAGAGACUUUGAUUCUGACAAGUACAGGAAUCAAGGCCUCCUUGCUCUAUAAUAAUUACCCUUAUUUGUAACCGGGAGAGUUGGGGUACAAAAAUAGAAGAUGCAAGGUCAUAAUGCCAGUUUGCUGCCAGAAUGCAUUCUGGGGAGGCAGCAGCACCAGAUCCAAGAUGGCGGCCAGCAGGAGGCUGAUGAAGGAGCUUGAAGAAAUCCGCAAAUGUAGAAUGAAAAACUUCUGUAACAUCCAGGUUGAUGAAGCUAACUUAUUGACUUGGCAAGGGCUUAUUGUUCCUGACAACCCUCCAUAUGAUAAGGAGGCCUUCAGAAUUGAAAUCAAUUUUCCAGCAGAGUACCCAUUCAAACCACCGAAGAUCACGUUUAAAACAAAGAUCUAUCACCCGAACAUUGAUGAAAAGGGGCAGGUCUGUCUGCCAGUAAUUAGUGCUGAAAACUGGAAGCCAGCAACCAAAACCGACCAAGUAAUCUAGUCCCUCAUAGCACUGGUGAACGACCCCCAGCCCAAGCACCCACUCCAGGCUGACCUAGCUGAAGAAUACUCUAAGGACCGUAAAAAAUUCUGUAAGAAUGCUGAAGAGUUUACAAAGAAAUAUGGGGAAAAGCGACCUGUGGACUAAAAUCUGCCGCGAUUGAUUCCAGCAAGUGUGAGCAGAGACCCCGAGCAGUGCAUUCAGACAUCCCACAAAGCAGGACUCUGUGGAAAAUUGACACGUGCCACUGCCUGGCGUUCGCUUGUGGCAGUUACUAACUUUCUACAGUUUUCUUAAUCAAAAGUGGUUUAGGUAACCUGUAAAGAAAGGAUUAAAAAUUUAAGAUGUUCUA